UAGGGAAUCUUCGGCAAUGGACGAAAGUCUGACCGAGCAACGCCGCGUGAGUGAAGAAGGUUUUCGGAUCGUAAAACUCUGUUGUUAGAGAAGAACAAGGACGUUAGUAACUGAACGUCCCCUGACGGUAUCUAACCAGAAAGCCACGGCUAACUACGUGCCAGCAGCCGCGGUAAUACGUAGGUGGCAAGCGUUGUCCGGAUUUAUUGGGCGUAAAGCGAGCGCAGGCGGUUUCUUAAGUCUGAUGUGAAAGCCCCCGGCUCAACCGGGGAGGGGCAUUGGAAACUGGGAGAAUUGAGUGCAGAAGAGGAGAGUGGAAUUCCAUGUGUAGCGGUGAAAUGCGUAGAUAUAUGGAGGAACACCAGUGGCGAAGGCGGCUCUCUGGUCUGUAACUGACGCUGAGGCUCGAAAGCGUGGGGAGCAAACAGG
rnacentral:rRNA from 1 species